rnacentral:rRNA from 1 species
UACGUAGGGGGCAAGCGUUGUCCGGAAUCAUUGGGCGUAAAGAGCGUGUAGGCGGCCCGAUAAGUCCGCUGUGAAAGUCCAGGGCUCAACCCCGGGUCGGCCGCGGGUACUGCCGGGCUGGAGUGCCGUAGGGGCAGGCGGAAUUCCGGGUGUAGCGGUGGAAUGCGUAGAGAUCCGGAAGAACACCGGUGGCGAAGGCGGCCUGCUGGGCGGCGACUGACGCUGAGGCGCGACAGCGUGGGGAGCAAACAGG